GUUCCGUUUUCUGUAUUUGGUUGACAAUUUGUUAGUGAUCAAAGACAACGGCGAAAAUGUGCCCACUGUGGUGUGUGAAAUACUUGAUUUCGACCGACUUUGGGCUCUUCUGCAGACCGAUAAAAAUAAUGAACGAGUGAUUUUAAUGUAUCAGUUCUGUUUAUCGAACAGUUAACUACACGCAAGUAACAUAAAAAGAUUCUGGCGUUAUAAAAUUCGUUGUCUAUGGGUUAAAAUGGCCGUUUUUUGCGGCGAAAAUGGGCCCCCCA
rnacentral:lncRNA from 1 species